AUUGAACGCUGGCGGCGUGCUUAACACAUGCAAGUCGAACGAAGUGGCGAACGGGUGAGUAACGCGUAAUCAACCUGCCCUUCAGAGGGGGACAACAGUUGGAAACGACUGCUAAUACCGCAUACUGAAGGAGGGGAUUGCGUCUGAUUAGCUAGUUGGAGAGGUAACGGCCCACCAAGGCGAUGAUCAGUAGCCGGACCGGUGGGAUGGACGGCCAAAAUGGGACCGAGACACGGCCCAGACUCCUACGGGAGGCAGGAGUGGGGAAUCUUCCGAAAUGGAGGGAAGUCUGGCGGAGCAACGCCGCGUGAGUGAUGACGGCCUUCGGGUUGUAAAGCUCUGUUAAUCGGGACGCGGUACCGGAAUAGAAAGCCACGGCUAACUACGUGCCAGCAGCCGCGGUAAUAC
rnacentral:rRNA from 1 species